GGGGGGGGGGGGCUGUGAGAGGCGGAUAGGCUACCGUGCUUUCUAUUUAGGUUGCAGGCUGAAAGUGGUGCAUAUUCCAGCGAUGACUAGUAUGUUCUGUACUUGAGGGGGCAGAGCCUGCAGUCGCCUCUGAUGGAUGAGAUGUAUAAAUAAGCCCAAACACCCCCCAUGACCACGCAGUGAUGUAACAGCAGAGGAAAGGCACAGCGGGACUUGGCGCUCCACACUACUGUAAUCCUACUGGUCAUACAUGCUGGACGAGGCCCCCUCCCCCACCGGGUAACAUUCAUCCUCUCCAUCUCCCGAUCCCCCUCUUUCCUCCUCCUCUCUUCCCAUCAGAUGGGAUUCCUGGCAGCAGCAGUCAACUUGCCCUCUUAUGAGGAUCUCACAGACUGAGCGGCUAAGAAAGUAGAAAGAGAUCUUAGUGCCUCUGUCUGCUUCGCCGCCAGGCGCAGUGUGGAUGCUGCUCUUUGCUGCAUGGAUGAAUAGUUAUGCGAUGCAUCAUUUAUAAUUAAUAGAUAUAUAUUUGCAGUCUGGUGGAACAAGCUUCUCCUGAGGCUGAAGCCCAGAUCAAAUAUGGAGAGGUGGCUUAACCGAAGCAAUUAUGGCAACUUUAUAAUAUUUGCAGUGGUUAAUGAAUGCUCCCUCCAUUUGGGCAUUUUAGCUUCAUAACGAUUGAUCCCCAAUAUUAACCCGCUGUGACGGAGGGUGAUCCACGUGCAGUUAGAAGCAUGUGAGCUACACUUACUUGUGUACUGAUGCCUUUUAUACUGCAGGUAUUUGAAUCUGCAUCAUAUAAUAAUGGUUUUGAAUAAACAAAAUAAUAAUGUAAAUAUUUUUGUUCACGUCCUCAUGGAGAUGUUUCCAUUUGCCGAAUGACGGAUUUAGAGCCGGAGGGACUUUUCAGGCCAAUAGACGGAGGAAUAAACCAUUAGCGAACUGGUCUUUUUGUGCAUUACUAAAUGUGAUUUUUGUCGGAUGUUCAUGGGUGAGGGAUGGCUCGUCACCCAGUCUCUGAUUCCAUUUCACACCCAUUUUCUUCUUAAUGGACUUUCACUUUGGUGAAUAAGAAAAGAACAGUUUAUUUAUCAGACACCUGAGGACAAGAUGGAUUUCUAGGCUGAGACGCCGUCCGAAGGGUUUGUGCUUUCUAGUCACUUCACAUCUCACAUCCAAUGUGAAGAGCCUGAGGUUUAUUAUCACUGAAGCUUCAUACAUUGGUAUGUGGCGCCUGCUCAGAAACAAUGUCCUUCAAUUCAUCAAUCUGUGCUAAAUUUCUCAUACAAAUGUACUGUAAGCAUCUCAAACGUUUUCUUUCCCGUCUGUUAUUCUACAAGUUGAACACGGUGAAGUUUAUUCACUUAAAGUACUUUUAUGCUUGACUAUUUGCUGAGUAUUUGCUUCUUUCUUGUUUGUGCAUUAAAGUUGUUCUAGUUUUCAUGGUGUUCAAUGAGAAGAACAUCAAUAAGAAACAUGGACUCUUUUAUGACCAGUGUGGAUACACUGAGGACGAACCUUCGUGUCCUCCAACCGGUUUCUGCAGCAACAUCAUCAACGGAGGAACAAACAGACAUCUGGAGCUUUUCCUACUUUAUCUUCUGGUGCACUGACCUGUUUCCACCACCAGGGGGCAGUAACUCAUCGGGCCUGAAGGACAACGUCUCUCUUUUGAAUCACAGUUCCUUUUAUACGGAGAACAAAAUGCAGACAUGGUGUUGAGCUGUAGGCGCUUUGGCAGAGCAGCAGAGCCGGACUCUUGCGGUCCCUGAAGCAGCGGCCAUAAAGGGAAGCGAAGGAGGAACCUGACAUCUAUUUCACUUUAGAGAAGUUGUUGAUCUUCAGAGAUUUUCAGUUUCCUCAAAAGAUCUGCACCAUUUAACGCAAUGACUGGACGUUAUUACUCGCCAGGCGUAGUGGAUGUCAAAUUGCCUUCAGACUCAUUUCGGGUGAAAUUAAAUGGAUUUAAUAAUGUGAACUGA